GAAGCAAACACACCACUCAAUCUAUGAUGGAAUUCUUAAUUAAGGAGAAGGACAUUAUUACACUUCGCGAUUAGGUAGAAUGAGUGAAACCAUGGAGGUGCCUAGAAGGAGAGAGGUCAGAAGAACAAAUGCUACUGCAGAAAAUUUAGAUAAUUGUAAAAAUGGGACUAACAAUGCUUCUUUUGGUUCCUUGGUCUUAGUAAUGUUGAAUUGAAGAGACAGCACGCCUUAUUCCAAUAUAAAUCUUAGUGAGGACUGCUGGAGCCACAUGUGAAGCCUUGAUGCUGUUUCGGAUAUAUAUGCAGGCGUCGAUUUUAAUUCGUGAACCAUUCAGUUUCGAUUGCAGUAUUAUAAAUUCGAUUGAGAAGCUUCAGUUAAUUAUUAGACAUUUUUGUAAUACACAGAAUUUCGAGUAUCGCUAUAUACGCGGACGCGUCGCGGCCAGGAUGGACGGUAGGGUAAGGCCUUCCAGUUAUGUUGUAUUUAUCAAGAAUUCAUCAUGCUCUUUCGGUCAUGUUGUAUUUGGAUGAGUUCAUCAUAACCUAAGAAUAUACACCCUGAGCUGUGCUAGCCAAGUCGAUGUCUUUCGAGAUCUUCAUGUGGACGCGGUCGAUUCAUCCUGGCAGAUUCUGUGUAUCUGGUCGCGAGUGAUGGCAAAUUCGUUUCUCAUAUUCGGGCUGAAGUAAAAUCAUGGAAUAUAUGGAUAGGACGUGUUUUUAGCUCUUAGUUUGAAAUUAACAUUUGCUCAAAGGCCUUGAAGCGGUUCCUAAUGAGGUUUUACAACUGAUGCAGCCCUAGAACGAAGAUCUUGGAAACACUAGCCAUCAGGAUUGAGGUC